GGUCGCUUAGCUCAGUUGGUUAGAGCGUGGUGCUAAUAUGGCGGCAUUCAUAGAGUGCCUAUGCCUAGUUAACGCCAAGGUCGCGAGUUCGACCCUCGUAGUGACCA